UUUAUUUUGGGUUUCCCUCUCACUGCUUUUCACGGUUUUGUUAGGGUUUUGUUAGAGGCCUCUGUGUUCCUGGUUCUCUUUCGCCUUCCUCCUCAUCGUUCCUUGAAGCAACAGAUUUUAUCUUCCAUCAUCGUUCCUUUGAAGCAACAGAUUACGGCUCUAGAUUGGAGAUAUAGAAAGUGACGAAAUCCAGUUCUGAAUUUGCGCGAAGAACCACGCUGCAUUUUUGUCAGCUUUGGCUGGUAUUGAGGUUCAGAAGCUGCUGCUAGAGCAGCCAUGGCAACUGUAUAUGACAUGGAUGGUGUAACAAGUAGGGGCAGUGGUCAGUUGCAGGCCUAUUCGAUAAAAGUGCAAAGAAGGAAUUACUGAUCAUCUGUCAAUUUUGGUCUUACAUAUUAAUCCUGCUGUUGAAUCCAGUGGUGGUUCUGUAGCUUGUACACCAGAAGAAGCUCGUGCAGAGGCAGAGUCCCUGCUCAAACUGGAGGAGGACGAGUUUUUAAAGUCCAUAGCAAUCAUUAUCGAAGCUAAGAUGAAAGAGAUCCAAGAUAAGAUUGAUCGUUUUGAAGAAAAGGAUUUGCAGUUGGAAAGGGAAUGGCACCAGUUACGUCAAAUGCAGCAUCAGCUUCACCUAGAUAAGCUCACUCUUUUAUUUCACAAGACUUCUGCGCCUAAAUCGGUAGAAAAUUUUCAGAUGGAAAUGUCAGAACAAAAUUUCCUACAUCUAGUUAGUUCAACCAUAAUGUGUAGCUGUGAUGUUUUAACCAGGCUUCUCUAUUUCUUGCUGCUUGCCUGCUUCUAUAAACAUGAAAAUUCCAUGAAAAUUCUGAUGAUAUGUUUUCUGUUUAUUACAAAAAAUUCAUAUCGUUUUCCUUAUUUUUUAUUUAAAAUUUAUGAAAACAGGAUGACUAUCUUACGGAUGUCAAAGUUGUCUACAUUUCCAAAAGAGAGGAGAAAAAAAAAGUAAAGGAGAUAAUAACCGACAAGGUGAAAGACAAAGGUACGUACAUGAGUAUCGAGAUGAGUUUAAUGAAGAUCAUGGAUCUAAUGAUGAAGAUUAAGAUCUUUCCGACAAGUGGAAAGAGAUGAAUUUUGCAUUGGAGUCCUCUAAGGGUGCUCGGGUGAGAAGCUACAGACCUGAUUCUCGUUCUAACAGGGAUAAACAGAGAAUGAUGACACCGACAUCAAUCUGGAUGGGAUUAAGCUGCCUGAACAUGAUUUGACAGUGACCGGAAUCACUGCUCAUCCUAGGCAUAAGAUGCAAAAGAAGCCUCACCGGUUAGAGGGGUUUAACUUCUUAUUGAGUAUCUUAAUAGCUGAGAAUUAUGGUGGUUGCAUCUUGGCGCAUGCUCCUGGCUCAGGAAAGACUUUUAUGAUUAUCAGCUUCAUGUAGAGUUUUCUUUCCUAGUAUCCAAAUGCUAGGCCACUGGUAGUUUCAGGACACUCCCUUACUAGAUUUCUAUUCCAAGAAAGCUGAGAAUAGGUUUCAACAAAGUCCUUGGACAGUGGGUAGAGAAGAGGAGCAUACUAUUUCCUGGGCAUAAGCAGUUCUCUACUAUUGUCGCUGGUGAUAGCUCGUGCAUGGCAACUGCUUAUUGCCAGGAGGUACUGCUGAAGUGCCCUAGCAUCUUUUAUGUAAACUUUAUGUAUAUAAGAUGUUUUUAUAUCUUGGGGGACCGUGUAUACUAUGUAAACUAGUAUAUUCAAAAAUUAAAAGCUACUUUGAAUAUGUGAAGAUUUAUAAGGUUUAUGUCACAUACAUAUUAUAUAGGUUUUAAAGAAUAGAGCUAUUGGACCGUGAUUGUAGGAUUUUUGAUUUUGAGGGACGUAGUUUUAGAACCAAUAUUUAUUUAUUUAUUAUUGAGGUAAUUGUAAUAGAUAUUAUGCUUAUGAAUUUGAAUUGUAUACAUUUUUUGAA